rnacentral:rRNA from 1 species
UACGAAGGUGGCAAGCGUUACUCGGAAUUACUAGGCGUAAAGCGCAGGUAGGUGGUGUGAUAAGUCCGUAAUGAAAUCUCCCGGCUUAACUGGGAGGGGUUUAGGGAUACUGUCAUGCUUGAGUGUGGUAGAGGUAACUGGAAUUCCCGGUGUAGCGGUGGAAAAUGCGUAGAGAUCGGGAGGAACACCUAUGGCGAAAGCAGGUUACUGGACCAAUACUGACACUGAGCUGCGAAAGCUAGGGGAGCAAACAGG